GUUGAGCUUUAUGUCCCGUUCCAGCACUCUCGUAUUCCUGACUGAACUUGUGUGUACCGACCUUCGUCCGUUCUCCGACCCACCCGUUCCUGCAUUUGGGUCCUACCUCUCGUUCCGAUGGGACGUGACAGGGAUAGGCUCCAGCACUCCAGUGACCCUUGUGAGAAGAAGCAUCUGAGAAAAUGGAUGGAUGGAAUGGAAAAAAUCCGCAAAUCGGGCCAUCCACAGGUGCCAAACCACAACUAUGCAGGUCCACUGGAGGUUAAUCUCAGUCGUCCUCCGGGGCCUACUUCAUCUUGGGGCCCGAGCUGUAGUAUAAAAGUAGCUGUUGCUGCUCCAAGGGGGUCACCAGCAGGGCGACUACAGGCAA